rnacentral:rRNA from 1 species
GGAGUUAGCCGGUGCUUCUUCUGUGAGUGAUGUCCUUCCUGCCGGCUAUUAACCCGCAGGCCUUCUUCCUCACUGAAAGUGCUUUACAACCCGAAGGCCUUCUUCACACACGCGGCAUGGCUGGAUCAGGGUUGCCCCCAUUGUCCAAUAUUCCCCACUGCUGCCUCCCGUAGGAGUCUGGGCCGUGUCUCAGUCCCAGUGUGGCUGAUCAUCCUCUCAGACCAGCUACGGAUCGUCGCCUUGGUGAGCCGUUACCUCACCAACCAGCUAAUCCGACAUAGGCUCAUCCGAUAGCGCGAGGCCCGAAGGUCCCCCGCUUUCCCCCGUAGGGCGUAUGCGGUAUUAGCCUGGGUUUCCCCAGGUUAUCCCCCACUACCGGGCAGAUUCCUAUGCAUUACUCACCCGUCCGCCGCUCGCCACCAGGGAGCAAGCUCCCCGUGCUGCCGCUCGACUUGCAUGUGUAGCGUCGCCGCCACGCGUCAUCUGAGCAGAAUACAACUACUGA